rnacentral:rRNA from 1 species
GACAGAGGGUGCAAACGUUUGUUCGGAAUUACUGGGCGUAAAGCGUGCGCAGGCGGUUGUGCAAGACAGAGGUGAAAUCCCCGGGCUUAACCUGGGAACGGCCUUUGUGACUGCACGGCUAGAGUGUGUCAGAGGGGGGUAGAAUUCCACGUGUAGCAGUGAAAUGCGUAGAUAUCGAGAGGAACACCGGUGGCGAAGGCGGCCUUCUGGACAGUGACUGACGCUGAGACGCGAAAGCGUGGGGAGCAAACAGG